rnacentral:rRNA from 1 species
GCAUAACGCGAAGAACCUUACCAAGGCUUGACAUACACCGGAAUCAUGCAGAGAUGUGUGCGUCUUCGGACUGGUGUACAGGUGGUGCAUGGUUGUCGUCAGCUCGUGUCGUGAGAUGUUGGGUUAAGUCCCGCAACGAGCGCAACCCUCGUCCUAUGUUGCCAGCACUUCGGGUGGGGACUCAUAGGAUACUGCCGGGGUCAACUCGGAGGAAGGUGGGGAUGACGUCAAAUCAUCAUGCCCCUUAUGUCUUGGGCUUCACGCAUGCUACAAUGGCCGGUACAAAGGGCUGCGAUACCGCGAGGUGGAGCGAAUCCCAAAAAGCCGGUCUCAGUUCGGAUUGGGGUCUGCAACUCGACCCCAUGAAGUCGGAGUCGCUAGUAAUCGCAGAUCAGCAACGCUGCGGUGAAUACGUUCCCGGGUCUUGUACACACCG